GGGCCGCGGUAUACUGACCGUGCGAAGGUAGCAUAAUCAAUAGUGUUUUAAUUGAAGACUGGAAUGAAGGGUCGGACAAGGGGCUUGCUGUCUCUAAGGUAAAUCUUGAAGUUUACUUUUAAGUGAAAAGGCUUAAAUGGCGUAGAGGGACGAUAAGACCCUAUAAAACUUAACGGAUCAUGUGGCUAGAUGUAUGAAUUAAGGGUGUAAGCUUGAUGGCCGGGUGAUCGUUCUGUUGGGGCGACAGGGAUAUAAGUAUGCUUAACUGUCUUAAUGUAAAAAUAGGAGUAAUUAGUUAAAUUGAUCCUUUAUUAGGGAUUAUGAGAUCAAGUUACUUUAGGGAUAACAGCGUAAUUUCUCUUGAGAGUUCUAAUCGACAGAGUUAGUUGCGACCUCGAUGUUGAAUUAAGAUGUUAUUCAGGCGCAGAAGUCUGAAUGGUAGGUCUGUUCGACCUUUAAAAUCUU
rnacentral:rRNA from 1 species